UGGACUAUUUAACAUUCCACUUGGGAG
rnacentral:misc_RNA from 1 species